AUUUGGGUUAUUGAUGGGGAAGAUCUACAUACCUUUGCUCCUAAGAUUUUCCUUUCUUCGCUUAUAAGUCUCAUAAGUGUAGAUAAACCCUCUCCACAAAACAGAAAUAAGUAAGGGCUUAAAGGAUCCCCUUGACGCAGCCCUCUUGAUGGUUUGAAAUUAAGACCUUCUUCAACAUUAAGUAAAAUUGAAUAAUGAACCGAACUAAUACAGUGAAGCAUAAAAUCAAUAAAUGGAUUGACAAAGCCCAAUUUUGACAUCAAACCUUUAAGAAAAAACCAUUCCACUCGAUCAUAGGCCUUACUCAUAUCUAGCUUUAGAGCCAUAAAUCCUUUUCGCCCUGAUCUUUUGUUCUUGAAAGAGUGAAGUACCUCAUACGCCAACAACACAUUGUUAGUUAUAAGCCUACCCGGUACAAAAGUACUUUGAGAGUCAUCAAUACAAACAUCUAGUACCUUUUGUAAAUGGUUAGCAACUGACUUGGCAAUAAUCUUAUAGAUAACCGUACAGAGGCUAAUAGGACAAAGAAUUUUCAAAUUGAGGGGAUUUGCAAUUUUUGGAAUUAAAACCAACUGAGUUCUGUUGAUUUCUUCCAAAGAUUUGCCAUUAUUCAAAAUAUCCAAACAGAAAUCACUAGUAUCUUUACCAAUAAUAUGUCAAUACUUUUGGUAAAAUACUAUCGAAAAACCAUAUGGACCUGAAGCUUUUGUAGGUCCUAUUCCUUUCAACGCUUCAACAAUUUCCUUCUCUGUGUAAGUAGCCAUCAAACUUUGAUUCACACUGUUAGAAAUGCAACACGGUACCCCCGAUAAAAUGUGAUCCAAAUUGCCAAUUCCUCUAGAAGCGAAAAGGUCCAAGAAAUAUUCACGAGCAAUAUUCCCAGUUUUGAUACAAUCAGUAGCUAAAGAACCAUCAUUCCUUUGUAAUCCUCGAAUGCGAUUAGUAUGCCGUUUUUAAGAAGCAAACUUGUAAAAAAACGAAGUGUUUUUAUCACCCAUUUUCAACCAAUUCACUCUGGCUCAUUGCUCCCAAUAUCUUGCUUCCUUAUCCAUCUUCAUAUUCAGGUGUAAUUUGACAUCAACAAGUUCAGCCAAAAUUUCUUUCGAUUGCUAAGAAUAAUUUAAUUCCUCCAAUAUCCUUGUUAAUAUUUUAACAUCUUGACCUCGUUUGUAUUUAAUCUUGCCUGCCCAACAUUUUAAGCCAUUAGCAAGAGUUAAAAUACUUUUGAAAAAAACCCAAAUUGCCCUCCUAUAGCUUUCUUAUCUCUUCCUCACAAGACUCAUCCAAAACUCACCACACUUUAAAAUGAAACCUUCUAGAUUUUUUACCCCUUCCUCCAACCUUCGUCUCAAUAAGUAAUGGACAGUGAUCCGAGAAAGAAUGAGGAAGAUGCCUCAAUGAAUAAGUUGGAAAGAGUUGAAUCCAUGCGUCAGUAGCAACACCUCUGUUAAUUCUUUCUCUUAUAUUAUUUUUCCAAUAUUUGGCCCCUCUCCCAAGUAAACAAUGUCCUAGAAUACCCAAUGUCCUCCAAAUGACAAUCCUCCAAAGUUCUAUGAAAAGCAUACAUUCUAGCCUCAUCCCUUAAAAUCCCUCACUGUUUCUUAUUCGCAAAAAGAAUAUCAUUAAAGUCCCCACCAACCAGCCAUGGUAGCGAAUUAUUUCUCCUUAAUCGUCGAAGCAAAUCCCACGUCAUGGCUUUAUCCCUUACAUCCAGGGCCCUAAAGAAACCCAUAAAUCUCCAACGUGGAUUACCUUUCUUUUCUUGAAUUUCAACAUCAAUGUGAUUUUUAGAGAAACUCUUCAAAGUAACUAAAUGACCUCUAUUCCACCCAAUACUUAAACCUCUCAUGUCCCAUCCGCAGGGACAUCAACACCAUUAAAAAAACACAUCGUCUCCUAACAUUCUCCAUUCAAUUAACAUUCAAUUUUUUCUCCAUAAAGAAGAUAAUUUGGGGAUGAUAAAUUUUCAGCACAUGUUGAAAAUCUUUGUACUGCUCGCAGACUCCCCAAUCCACGAACAUUCUAGCAAAAAGUUUUCAUUUCUUCCGGACGGCAUACCCACUAGUAGUAGUCGGUAAUUGCUUAAGAUUAACUGAAUGCCCACCAUUGAUCUCCAAUGAAUCUCGAAUAGUGGAAACAUUAGAAAUUAAAGAAUCAAACCUGCCUUUUUUUACAGUCCUCAUUAGUGAUUAGAUCCUCUUCUAACUUACAAUCCUUUCUCGUCAAAUCCAGCCCAUUAGCAGGGCCCACAUCAAUCGAAACCUUUCUUAUUUCCACCUAUUCAAACUAGUCUCCAUCUGUUGACUUUUACAAGGCUUCAAAUCUUUCCCAAAAAUGUGAAGUGAUUCCUGCCUCUAUACUAGAACAUUUGUAAAUUUGGAACCUUCCAAAUUAAUUCCAAGAAUAGGGAGUUUAGAGAUGUCUGAAAGAGUAAAUUGGUUGUGUUAAAUGUUGCAAAAAUUAUGGUGCCUGGAAGUUUUAAUUUGGACGAUCAAUGCCAUGUUUGCUGUUGAAUAUUUCUGUUACGUAGGACAAAUUAAAUAAGUUAAUAUUGAUUAAAAAUACUGAUUUAAAUGAGUGUAAUGUUGUCCAAAGUAAAGACAAAUUAUAUGUAUUUUGCAAGUGAAAUUUUGUAAAAUAGUUGUUGCAUGUUUGCUGUCCGAGGCAACCCUUACAUAUAUGUGAGUGUGAAAUACAGUACAAAACUCGGAUUCAAUUUUUGUGAUGUAGAUUUAUAUAUAAAUUGCCAGCAUUUUCAGGGCCAUUUUGAAUGUACUUUUGUGGAGUCAUAUUUGUAUAAUGAUAGGCUUAUUUAGAUUUGAUUUUAUGGUAGAUUGAAAUACAACAAAAGUACUAGCAUUUUUUUUAAUAGAAUCUGAUUUGUGAAGUAGCAGUGGAAGAGGACUUGCCUUUCUUCUUCAAAGAUACACCUUUUGAUCUUUGUUCCUUCAAGGUGAUGAGUAUGGUUGACAAUUCUAACGGUGAUAAAAGUGAUGAUGAAAGGGAAAAGAAAGAAAUAUUACAAUGCAUUGCAUAUUAUUCUGUGCAAUUAUAUUAUGAGAAGUAUAUAUUGAAGCAAUCAUGAAUGGAUUCAAAACAGUCAAGUGAGGCAUGGAUCCGAGAGAUUCUUGACUGUAACACUCCUAACCCGUAUUUAUUGUCGGAACAGGGGUACAGAGCAUUACUAGAGUUUACAAAACAAUUAAACAGAUAUUUCAUAUAAUAUAACAUUCAUGUCAGAAA